AAGCGUUGAAGUAAUACGUUGUUUCAGGACGCAGUGUUUAUGGAGCUUUAUAAGGGUUAUAUAUUUACCACAACCUGGAUAGGGGAGACCCGAAAGAAAAUAUAGUAU
rnacentral:ncRNA from 1 species